CGCUUUCACUUUUAAAACAAAAAACAUAACAAACUUGUUGUACAUGAUGUUUCAUGCUUUUAGGCAACUUGCAUUCAAUUAUUGUUCUCUAUUUAUAUUUUACAACGCAUUGAUAUGAUUCAAGUUUUAUCGGUCUGCAUGUUAAUGAUCUUGUGGUGUUUUCCUGAAACUGUAAAUAAGAAAUUUGUUUUUAAAUAUUUCAAAUAUUUUCU